rnacentral:rRNA from 1 species
GAUGAACGCUAGCUACAGGCUUAACACAUGCAAGUCGAGGGGCAGCACAGUGUAGCAAUACACGGGUGGCGACCGGCGCACGGGUGCGUAACGCGUAUCCAACCUUCCCGUUACUCUUGGAUAGCCUUCCGAAAGGGAGAUUAAUACAAGAUGGUAUUCAAAUUCCGCAUGUUAUUUGAAUUAAAGAUUUAUCGGUAACGGAUGGGGAUGCGUGACAUUAGAUAGUAGGCGGGGUAACGGCCCACCUAGUCUACGAUGUCUAGGGGUUCUGAGAGGAAGGUCCCCCACACUGGAACUGAGACACGGUCCAGACUCCUACGGGAGGCAGCAGUGAGGAAUAUUGGUCAAUGGUCGGAAGACUGAACCAGCCAAGUAGCGUGAAGGAUGAAGGUUCUAUGGAUUGUAAACUUCUUUUAUACGGGAAUAAAAUCUCCCACGUGUGGGAGCCUGUAUGUACCGUAUGAAUAAGCAUCGGCUAACUCCGUGCCAGCCGCCGCCGUAACAC